UAUAUAGACAUAGAGGCAGAGAAGGAGGGAAAAGUAAGUAAUGAGAUAUCUGAUCAAGGAAGAGACAUAGCGUAUGUAUCAUGUUUCACAUCCAAUCUUGCUGUGAGAUCAGGAUGAUUUACAUGGAUUUGGUAAACUGGAGUCACCAAUUUUUUUUCCAAGAGAGAUCUCAUCAAGAUGAUUAUCUUGUGAAUAUACUCCAGACAGCGAGGUGGAAUGAAUAAGGAUCUUCGAGAGUUUUUGAGUAUCUGGAUCCAGAUCUAACUUUUGAAUAUAUUGAUCUACAUUUGCAGCUUCUGGGUAUCAAUCCAAACAUUAAGAUACCCCAAUAUUUAUAUAAUAUUAAAAUAUUAAAGAUAAAAGUAAAAUGAAAGA